rnacentral:rRNA from 1 species
UGUGGAUGCCUUAGGUUCAUAUGCACAAUGGGCGCUUUACGAUGCGAAACGUUGUAUCUGAGACAUCAUUCUGAUAGGUACAAAUCCCCACAGCGGUAAACCGCAAUAUUUUGACACGAGGAGAACUGAAACAUCUAAAUAUCCUCUAGGAAAAGAAAUCAACCGAGAUUCCGUUAGUAUUGGCGAAAGAACGCGGACAAGGCAUAUGAUUAUGAAAUUGAAAAACAUGUUGGAAUACAUAGACCAAAGAAGGUAAAAGUCCUGUAUUAUGCCUUUCAUAAUCAUCAAGAGUAGAACGUUAGACUGUUUGAAAAUAGGAGAACCACCUUCUAAGCCUACAUAUGCAUAUGAGACCGAUAGUGAACAAGUACUGUGAAGGAAAGGUGAAAAGAACCCUCUUGUAUAGGGAGUGAAAAGAUCUGAAACAAAAUACAUACAAUCAAUCGAUAUAUUAAAAAAAUGUAUCGGUGUACCUUUUGCAUAAUGGGUCAGCGACUAAAUGUGUGCAGCUUGCUUAAGCAACGAUGUGGAGGCAAAGCAAAAGCGAGUAGGUUUUCCUGCGUUUGUUGCAUGCAUUUGACCCGAAACUAAGUGAUCUCGUUUUGAGCAGGUUGAAGAAAGCGUAAAGUCUUUUGGAGGACCGAACCGACGUCUGUAGCAAUAGGCGCGGAUGACUUGAUACGAGGGGUGAAAGGCCAAUCAAACUUAGAAAUAGCUGGUUCUUCGCGAAAUUUAUUGAGGUAAAGCGUCUAUUAAAUCUUUCUGGGGGUAGAGCACUUAUUGAGCUAUGGGGGUCCAAAACCUUACUGCUCUCAAGAAAACUCCGAAUACCAGUAAAGUAUAAUAGGCAGACAGACAAGCGGUGCUAAGGUCGCUUGUCGAAAGGGAAACAGCCCAGCCUGGCCGCUAAGGUCCCAAAGCAUUCUGUGAGUGGGAAAAGAUGUGAUACAACUAUGACAACUAGGAGGUUGGCUUGGAAGCAGCCAUUCUAUCAUGAAAGCGUAAUAGCUCACUAGUCGAGUUGUGUUGCGCUGAAAAUGUAUCGGGGCUGAACAGAAUCACCGAAGCGCCAGUUUUUAAGUAGCGAAGCGUUUUGUGCGCCAAUGAACAUACAUCGUAAGAUUUGUGGAAGGUCUCAAAAGUGACUAUGCUGACAUGAGUAACGAAAAAUCAUGUAAAGCCAUGAUCGCCGUAAGUCCAAGGGUUUCUGCUAACUGGGAAUCAGUGCAGAGUUAAGUUCGGUCCCUAAGAGUUUGUAUACACU